rnacentral:rRNA from 1 species
GACGAACGCUGGCGGCGUGCUUAACACAUGCAAGUCGAACGGAAAGGCCCUGCUUUUGUGGGGUGCUCGAGUGGCGAACGGGUGAGUAACACGUGAGUAACCUGCCCUUGACUUUGGGAUAACUUCAGGAAACUGGGGCUAAUACCGGAUAGGAGCUCCUGCUGCAUGGUGGGGGUUGGAAAGUUUCGGCGGUUGGGGAUGGACUCGCGGCUUAUCAGCUUGUUGGUGGGGUAGUGGCUUACCAAGGCUUUGACGGGUAGCCGGCCUGAGAGGGUGACCGGCCACAUUGGGACUGAGAUACGGCCCAGACUCCUACGGGAGGCAGCAGUGGGGAAUAUUGCACAAUGGGCGGAAGCCUGAUGCAACAACGCCGCGUGCGGGAUGACGGCCUUCGGGUUGUAAACCGCUUUCGCCUGUGACGAAGCGUGAGUGACGGUAAUGGGUAAAGAAGCACCGGCUAACUACGUGCCAGCAGCCGCGGUGAUACGUAGGGUGCGAGCGUUGUCCGGAUUUAUUGGGCGUAAAGGGCUCGUAGGUGGUUGAUCGCGUCGGAAGUGUAAUCUUGGGGCUUAACCCUGUGCGUGCUUUCGAUACGGGUUGACUUGAGGAAGGUAGGGGAGAAUGGAAUUCCUGGUGGAGCGGUGGAAUGCGCAGAUAUCAGGAGGAACACCAGUGGCGAAGGCGGUUCUCUGGGCCUUUCCUGACGCUGAGGAGCGAAAGCGUGGGGAGCGAACAGGCUUAGAUACCCUGGUAGUCCACGCUGUAAACGGUGGGUACUAGGUGUGGGGUCCAUUCCACGGGUUCCGUGCCGUAGCUAACGCUUUAAGUACCCCGCCUGGGGAGUACGGCCGCAAGGCUAAAACUCAAAGGAAUUGACGGGGCCCCGCACAAGCGGCGGAGCAUGCGGAUUAAUUCGAUGCAACGCGUAGAACCUUACCUGGGUUUGACAUGGAUCGGGAGUGCUCAGAGAUGGGUGUGCCUCUUUUGGGGUCGGUUCACAGGUGGUGCGUGGCUGUCGUCAGCUCGUGUCGUGAGAUGUUGGGUUAAGUCCCGCAACGAGCGCAACCCUUGUUCACUGUUGCCAGCACGUUAUGGUGGGGACUCAGUGGAGACCGCCGGGGUCAACUCGGAGGAAGGUGGGGAUGACGUCAAGUCAUCAUGCCCCUUAUGUCCAGGGCUUCACGCAUGCUACAAUGGCUGGUACAGAGAGUGGCGAGCCUGUGAGGGUGAGCGAAUCUCGGAAAGCCGGUCUCAGUUCGGAUUGGGGUCUGCAACUCGACCUCAUGAAGUCGGAGUCGCUAGUAAUCGCAGAUCAGCAACGCUGCGGUGAAUACGUUCCCGGGGCU